UCGAAGAGCUGAAGGACGGAAGCUGAAGAACUGAUUUCAUCAAAUUUGUUUACUAGAGGAAUUGAUAUUCAAGCAGUUAACGUUGUUAUCAAUUCUGAUUUUCCUAAGAACUCAGAAACGUAUUUGCACAGGGGAAAUGGAGGUGAUCAAAUUUGAAGUGGAUGAUGAAGAGUUUUUGAACUAUUG